AGAUUACUCCCUCCGUCCGAAAAUACUUGUCGAAGAAAUAGAUAAAAAUGGAUGUAUCUAGAACUAAGAUAUGUCUAGAUGCAUCCAUUCCUCCAACAAGUAUUUCCGGACGGAGGGAGUACUUG
rnacentral:pre_miRNA from 1 species